UACGGGGGGGCAAGCGUUGUUCGGAAUUACUGGGCGUAAAGGGCUCGUAGGUGGCCAACUAAGUCAGACGUGAAAUCCCCAGGCUCAACUUGGGAACUGCGUCUGAUACUGGAUGGCUUGAAUUCGGGAGAGGGAUGCAGAAUUCCAGGUGUAGCGGUGAAAUGCGUAGAUAUCUGGAGGAACACCGGUGGCGAAGGCGGCAUCCUGGACCGACACUGACGCUGAGUGAGCGAAAGCCAGGGGAGCAAACGGG
rnacentral:rRNA from 1 species